UACGGGGGGAGCAAGCGUUGUUCGGAUUUACUGGGCGUAAAGGGCGCGUAGGCGGCCUCUGCAAGUCGACUGUGAAAUCUCCGGGCUUAACCCGGAACGGUCAGCCGAUACUGCAGGGCUAGAGUGCAGAAGGGGCAACUGGAAUUCUCGGUGUAGCGGUGAAAUGCGUAGAUAUUGAGAGGAACACCUGCGGCGAAGGCGGGUUGCUGGGCUGACACUGACGCUGAGGCGCGAAAGCUAGGGGAGCGAACGGG
rnacentral:rRNA from 1 species